ACAGAGUAACCAAGGGUUCCUGUUUCCCACACACGUCUUUGUCUCGUUACAUCCGGGUAACAUUCACUACUCUGAGGAAAAUGGCACAUUUCUUGGUGUUUCUGAAUAACUAGGAAUCAUCCAGGCAGCUCCCAGCACUCCAGGUCUCCAGCAGCGAGCAUGCCAGGUGCCCUGGCUGCGGGAUGAGUGAUGAUAAAUAAGCAAAUCACAUGGUGGGCUGAACGAUUUCCCCAAAUGAGCCUGUUUGUCCCAGGCACAGUGCAAAACCCUCUUCUCCUUGGCGAUAACCUUUCUGUGUGCUCACAUUAUGCAUGCAUUCAUGUGACUUCCUCUGCCUCACUGCCACCUCUUGAUUUAAAUAAAAAUAAUUUAUGUGGACAUUCCUUCAGUUAGGAUUUCCCCCCCAAUAAUAUUUCGUUGAUGCUCUGAACCCAAAUGGGGUCGUUAUGCUUUUGCAUAUCAUUAGGGCUUUAUGAAGAACAACAGCGACAUCUGCAUGUGCCGCAGUGCCACGGACAUGGGGGGAAAAUACGGAAAACAAACCCCAAAUGAGCUCCAAGCUCAUCUGGCUCUGUCUUUCCUCAGUGCCUUUGCCUCUAUCACGGACACAAGUAAUUGUACAGUGUAAUCACAUCACAGCUUAUCUGAAUAUUCAUAACCGACACAAAGACUUGGAGGAGAAGUGGGGAGGAAAAGGAAGAAGCGCAGGCAGUGGGAGCGUUGCCGCCACAGCCCCCACUGUGGAGAGAGAAAAUAAAGCACAACAACAAACAGCGGCAGAACUGCCCCCAGCCAAAGGGAUGUUUGAAGAGUCGCCAACGGAGGCUAACCAGCUGCUGGUCUCCAGAAAAGAAACAGUCUAUUGAGGGAGCUUUAUAAAGACCCCAAUUAAUAUGUUGUGCAUGUAUAAGAUCUACAAAGAGCCCACUGUAUUCCUCCCCCCGCAGCCACCACCUUCUCUUCCUUAUCAAUGCCAGUGGAGAAGGAUCUGUGCUACCAAAUAAUUGAUUAAUCACUUCAGUGGUGAGAACGCCCCUCUCCAAAAUAAAGAAAAACAAACACAAAAAGAGGCAACAGUUUGCUAAUUAGCGUGUAAAUUACCGCUGGUUCCAUCCUGCUUUGUGCCUUUAAAAAGGAAAAGGGAAAGAGUAAAUAUAAUCCCCAUCUUAAUGUAUAUGCUGUCUUCAUUUCUUUUGUAUUACUUUGGUAUCCUUCACCAGUAUGAACACAGCAGUGUGAUGUUGAAGCUGUGGCUGGCUCUGCUAGUUCGUUCCCCAAAGAGCUCCUAUUUCCAUUCCACUGGAGCUUAUAUUCCUUUAAAUGUCUAGCGCAGCAUCAUUUCCCCCUUUCUAAUACAUCACUCUGCUGGAAUUAGAAGAAUCCAAGGUUAUAUCCAACUUCAAAGGUUUCCAAGUCAUCAUGAUUUUAGUAAAAGUAGAAGACAGAUCAUGGAACAAGUCCCUGGCUUUUGAAGAUAGGCAUCACAGGGACCUUCUUCCCUCUGUCUCGUUCUCGCUCUCCCACUCUCUCCCCCCAACUUUGUACCUCUCCAGCUCUGAAUGUCCCGCGCUAGCGUGGUUUAAUGAUAUGCAAAUGAAAUAUGCAUAAAACCAUUCUACUGUAUGAUGAUUAAACACUGGAGACAUUAGCCGCCGACGCUUCACUGUUUGACUAUAAUAAUCUUCCCCGAGCAUCCACUUUGAUUGCGGAGUUAUGGAAACCCAUAGCAGUUGGCAGAGAGGGAGUAAGAGGGAGCGAAGGAAGGAGAGGUGCAGGGAUGUAUCACCCAUCUUUGCAUUUAUCCCACUCCAGGAGACAUUUCUCCUCUUUGUACUGCAUUCCUACUGCUGUCUUUUGUAAUCCAUCCAUGCGGUCGCACCAGGGCAAUUAACAGGAAAAAACCCUCUUUUCUCUUAAUGUUUCAAAGCUCAUUAGCCAAACGAUUAUUCCUCAUUAACAGCGAAAGCUCAUUCAUUAAAAGAAAAAAUAUGCCCAAAAGAUGCCAGCACUGUUAAUCCCGAGCCCUGUAG